UUAAAUUUUAGGAUUAAGUGGAGAGAGAAUAAGAUAAGGGAGAGAGGUAGAACGUUGAGGUCCGUGUUGUAAUUUUAGUUUUUUUGUAAAUCUACAUGUAAGUUUAAGCUCGAAGUUUUUUUGUAUAAAUUAGCUUAGGAGAUUCUCAGUAGAAAAUUUUGGAAAUAUACUAAUGUUUUAUCCAGAUAACAAAUAAGAGGUGGAAAAUGGCGUGCCAGCAGCCGCGGUUAUACUUCAGCCUUAAAUUAAAAUGUUUGUACAAAAUUGUGUUUUUGAAUUGUUAUAUCAAGGAUUUAUUUUUAUCAUAAAGUAGAAUUUAGAUUUUAAGAAAAAAUUGGUAGGAGAAGCAUAAGACUUAUUUUUGGGACCAGGAUUAGAUACCCUGUUACUUUUAAUAAAAUAGUUUUGGAAUAAUAGUAUUAAUGAAAUUUAACGGAUUUGGCGGCAAGAUAGCCCCUUAGAGGAACCUGCCCUGUAAACGAUGAACCACGAAGAAACAUUACUUUUUUUUGAGAUCAGUUUGUAUAUCGCUGUUGUCAGUUAGAUUCUAGAGAAUAUUUUCAUUCAUGAUAAAGUCAUUGACUUCAAGUAAAGGUGCAGCUUAUAAAAAAGAAAGAGGUGGGUUACAUUUAAAAGAAUAAAACGGAUAAGGUGAAUGAAAAAACCUUUGAAGGUGGAUUUAACUGUAAAACUUAAGGAAGUUUGGUGGGAGCUCUAUCUUGUGUACACACCGCCCGUCGCUCUCUUUUUUAAAACGAGAUAAGUCGUAACAAGGUAAGUGUAAUGGAAAUUGUACUUG
rnacentral:rRNA from 1 species